UCUUUCCUCGUCUGUCGCCUGUGCUAAUUCUGGUCAAGCAUGCAAUUGAAAAUUAUCGUUGAUGUUGUCUGCUAAAGAACAAAUAGCAUGCGAAGAUCACCUGUUAGACCCUUUUGUUGAGAAUUUCGUACUGGAAAUCAAAGUCCACUUCGGGAUGCAGGAUAUUGAACUUAUGCACAUGUGGUAUGCUCUAGAUUUAGCUGUUCUUGCGGUUGGAGUGAUGGAAAGGACUAUGACUGGUGAAAGAAAGUUUUCAUCAAGUUGCAUUUGACCAUUUGAAAGAUCUACAAAACCAUUUGGAGGCUGUCAAUGACAUCCCUCGCAAGAUCAUGAUGGCGAAUGUCAUAAGUUCGCUUUUACAUAUGGAUGAUGUUUCUCUCAAUUUGGCUCAUUGUGCCUCAACAUGGAGCUAUUCUGAAUCACAUUACACAUGUAUUUCAGAGAAAACUGAUCUAACACGUGAAGAGGGAAACAAAUUAGUUGUAUCUUUCACGAGGAAACUACUAGAUAUAUUACAUCACUGUCUUCCUUCAACUAUAAGUUUAUAACUGAACUAGAUCAUGCUCUAAGUGAUGGCGUAAGUAGGGGUGGAAGACAAGCAUUGGAGUGGAGAGCAUCAAUUGCUAAACAUUUAAAGAGUGGGAAUGGCAGUUGUCAAUUUUGCAGUGUCUUCUUUCGUUAUCUGAACGCCAGUGGCAGUGGAAAGAGGCAUUAACUGUAUUACGUCCCGCACCAUCUAAGCUACUUAACCUGGAAGGGAGGGUGUGUUAUUGGCUGCAAUUCUAGGAACCAAAAUAUGGUCCCAAACUACAAAAUAGUCUGCAUCCCCACACAUUUUCCCUGGGGACAUUAAUGUUGUAACCUGCUCCUGAUCCUUCUCCAAUCAUAGUAUAGAAACCAUCAUCAAUAGCUGGAUAAAAGGCUUCCGAACUCAUGCCCGAAAGAAGCACAGCUCCAUACGGUCAUCAUAACUAAGAACUUCAAUCUUAUGUG